UACGAAGGGGGCUAGCGUUGUUCGGAAUCACUGGGCGUAAAGGGCGCGUAGGCGGCCGAUCAAGUCGGGGGUGAAAGCCUGUGGCUCAACCACAGAAUUGCCUUCGAUACUGGUUGGCUUGAGACCGGAAGAGGUAAGUGGAACUGCGAGUGUAGAGGUGAAAUUCGUAGAUAUUCGCAAGAACACCAGUGGCGAAGGCGGCUCACUGGACCGGAACUGACGCUGAGGCGCGAAAGCGUGGGGAGCAAACGGG
rnacentral:rRNA from 1 species